CUCGAGAGAUUGUCUAAAUAUAAGCAAGCACAAGUCACUUGAACUAAAGAGAUAACUUCAUUAAGUAAAAUGGUUCAAGGACAAGUAUGUGAGGCAAUAGAAGGAUUCAUCAAGGUCAAAUCAUUUUUUUUUAUUUUCAGAAUUAAUUUAGCUUAGAUUCUAUUUGCUUAAGAUAAUUAUCAAUGAGACAUGCUAGCUGAGUUUUAAUCAAAUUAUCUUAAACAAUUGUUUCUAUCAAAAUUCAGAUUGUUACAUAGAAUCAAAAUGAUAAACUAUAUUCUCAAUAAAAGAUCUAGUUUUAAUAGGAAUAAUAUAAAUUGAUAUUUCUACAACUAGUAUCUUGUCAUUGAAUAUUCUAUAUGCAUUGCUUAAAGAGUAAUAUCCAAAGAAACACUUGUUUUAUCAGAUUUGGCAUAUAUUUCAUUCUUGAGAACAUAAUAUGUAUAACUGAACAAUAUGAAGGUAUGCAACAUUUGAUUUUCUUUUUUUUUUAUGAGUUCACAUGGGGUUUUCUUUAAAAAUAGAUUUAAUAGAAACCUUAUAAUAUGACAAGCUGUGAUGAUAGUAUUAAUCAACUGUUAUCACAAAGCAUUGUCCUUACACAACAAAGGUUCUAUAUAUUUUUUUUUAUAUUUUUAUAACCCCUAUAUGCAAUAGUGUUCUUGGUGCAAGCACAAUUGUAUUCAAUACCAUUUGAUCAACAAAUUGGUUUUCAAAGCUGUGCCAUGAAUUUUCACAGUUUGCAAACCUUUUUCAUUUGAAACCUUUUGUAAGUUUGUGCCAAAGCAAAAAAAAAUAUUUCAAUUUAAGUGCCAAGAAUAAAACUAACAUUAGCUUUGAGAAAUCAUCCAUAAUUACGAAAUUAGAGAGCUUAUCUCCUAGGUUCACAAACCUAGAGAUCCAAAUAAGUUCUUAUGGAGAAUUUCCAACGGGUAAAAGGUGGAAACAAUGUUUUCAAAUUUAGAAAUGAUUCUAGUUUAUUUUUCUAGAUGACAUACAUAGCAAACUUUGACCUUGCAAAAAUUAAUCUAAGUGAACCAAUGACAAGGUCUUUUGAGAUUAAGUCCAUACUAGUAUGAGUUGAUUUUAUAUGCCAAAAG
rnacentral:lncRNA from 1 species